GUGGGGAAUCUUGCGCAAUGGGCGAAAGCCUGACGCAGCCAUGCCGCGUGAAUGAUGAAGGUCUUAGGAUUGUAAAAUUCUUUCACCGGGGACGAUAAUGACGGUACCCGGAGAAGAAGCUCCGGCUAACUUCGUGCCAGCAGCCGCGGUAAUACGAAGGGGGCUAGCGUUGCUCGGAAUUACUGUGCGUAAAGGGCGCGUAGGCGGACAGCUUAGUCAGAGGUGAAAGCCCAGGGCUCAACCUUGGAAUUGCCUUUGAUACUGGCUGUCUUGAGUUUGGGAGAGGUGAGUGGAACUCCGAGUGUAGAGGUGAAAUUCGUAGAUAUUCGGAAGAACACCAGUGGCGAAGGCGACUCACUGGCCCAAUACUGACGCUGAGGCGCGAAAGCGUGGGGAGCAAACAGGAUUAGAAACCCGGGUAGUCC
rnacentral:rRNA from 1 species